GCUCUGUCUGGCGAAGUAGCUCUUACUGGCUGCCAUUUGAAGAGAAAUUAUCGUGAUCGGAGAAGCUUUUAGAGAUCACUUCCGAUUGGGGGAUUUUCAAUUUCUUGAGGGUUUGGGGAAUAUUUCUUUCGCGGUGGGUGUUUUUUUUUUUGUUCUUGGUGCGGUGGAUGCGCUGUGGAGGAGCUUCAGGGGAACGCAGAUUUUCUCCUUUUAUAAAGGGGGAAGGGAGGCUUGUAAAACUAAAUGGAUAAGAUUUCAUGGAUUUUUGCUAUUUAAUCAAUUUAAGUUUUUUUUUGUACUUCAAUUUGGUUAUGGGUUUAAUUCAAAAGGGUGUAAAAAUGAGGACAUUGUUGUCACAUUAACUUUUAUUUUAUUUUGUUAGUAGGAAUAUGAGAUUAUGGUUAUUU
rnacentral:lncRNA from 1 species